UACAAAUUGCAAGUGUCGCGGUGUUGUUGCAUUUCGUAUUGCUUGCGAGUUCCUUUCCAAAGUUGAAAUAUUGUAAAUCUAAGUUUUAACCGUAUUAUAGACAGAAUGGAAAAUUACAAAAGAAAACAUAAUCACUCAAUUACAAUUAUUCUUGAAUUGGGUCAAAAAACAAGAUGCCGGGUUCAGGGAACAGGCAGAGUGUCUCAUCUGUGCAGAGUACAGACUGGCUGAGCCAGCCAGCCACUCAAACAUGCUCAACAAUGAUAUUUCCAUAGAAUAACGACACAAAUGAGGACAACUUACAACCAAUGUUACAAAGUGCAACAAAAUAAGUCAUAUAAGAAAAUGAGGUACUUAUUAAUUCGAAAACAAAUGGAAACACAUGCGAAAGAAACAUAAAUAUUUGCAGUGGUACAACAGAGUCCAAGAUAUUUGGAAGACCUAUGAGCGGGCCAUCAACCAUCGCAUCCUGCGUGAUGGUGGAGCUUUAUUAUUGUGAAAUAAUUCAAAUAUAUGUUUCUAUUUUU